UGGCACGACUCUUUUCAAAUUGAACCCA
rnacentral:piRNA from 1 species